AACGAACGCUGGCGGCAUGCCUAACACAUGCAAGUCGAACGAUUCCUUCUGGGGUAGUCGCUCACGAGUGCGUAACGCGUGGGUACCUGCCCUUAGUUUCGUAAUAACUCACAGCACUUUAGGCUUAUUCAUCCUACUUUCUUCCUACCAAGGAUAUCGCGCCUUUGGAUGGGCCCGCGUUUGAUUCGCUAGUUGGUGGGGUAAAGGCCUACCAAGGCGGCGAUCCAUAGCUGGUCUGAGAGGAGGAUCAGCAACACUGGGACUGAGACACGGCCCAGACUCCUACGGGAGGAAGAAGGGGGGAAUAUUGGAAAAGGGGGGAAAGCCUGACCGAGCAAGGCCGGGGGAGGGAUGAGGGCGUUGGGGUUGAAAAGCGCUUUUGGGGGGGAAGAAAAAGACGGUACCGGAAGAAUAAGCCCCGGCUAACUCGGUG
rnacentral:rRNA from 1 species